AAACAGCGCGUAGAACGUUCGACGAACAGAGACGAAAAAUCAAUUCAAGGAGUGCACUCGUCACCGGACAAAUACGAAAAGAUUGCAGACCAUGAGAGCGAAGAUAGAGCACCACCGAUUCGGAAGGCUAGUGAUAAGCCCCUUCGAGAAGAUGAUGACUUUGAAACGCUGGCGACGGCACUCUUAGCGCCAAGGAAACCUCAAAACCGGCCCAAGAAUACGCAACGAAAAGUCACACAAACCACAAAAAGGAGCAAUAGACAAUCCAGAAUCUCAGAAGAAAUGCGGUCAAGAGCAGAUUUAAUGCAGG